rnacentral:lncRNA from 1 species
AUAUGAAUAAUAGCAUGCCGCCUUAUAAGCACAUGAAAAGUCACUUGCCUUGAUCACCUAGUGUUGAACUUGAACCUGUGGAUGUCUGAGGGACAAUGUUACACUGGUGUAAAAUUUAUGGCCGGGUGGGAUCCCAAUAACGGUGGGGUGGGGGAAGGGCGACCUACGACUAAUGCUUGAUUUGCAACUGCCAUUUAAGUCAACAUUAUGAUACCUUCGUCUCCAAGAAAGAAUUUGUCAUAUUUGUUCAGCGAUGAAAUCGUAUGUAAAGAUUACAGUUGAAUUUGUAGCGUUAAUGGGUACAGGUUUUUACCUGUUUUUUUCCCAUGGCAAGGUGGGGCAGCUCCACUUACCAAUUUCCUUAACUACUUCUAAGAAAUGUAAUUUUCAAGAACUAAUAAUAAUAAUAAUAAUUAUUAUUAUUAUGCACAUCUUCUCUACUCUUAUUUUCCUUUUAUUUAAAAGCCUGGUUGUUCAACUUCUCAUUCGUAUAUGAGCUUAACCACUCAACAACCCCCAUAUUUGGUUAAUAUAAUAAAAUUAAUUUUGUUUUAAUAAUUAAUUAGGUGAGUACUACUCCAUCAGAAAGAUAAUGACGAUUGGAUUGCUAAACAUUUGAAGAGUCAUUGGAAGACAUUCACAUGUAUAUUUUUCAAAUUUCUGAGAUUACUUUGGUUUCAAUGUGCAUCUGCCAUUGUGGAUAUCAGUUAGUUGCUUAAGUUAUAUUAUUGUUGAACCAACAAGUAGUAGUGUGUUAAAUCUUUGGCAAGAUGCAGAAGGAAAGCCAGAGACACAAAUUAAUUAGCACACGGAGACAACCAGCUAUUAGGAAGCGAUGACUUUUGCACCUACUCUGAGUCUCUCAGUCUCUCACUUUGGAGACGAUAAUUCAUAUAAAUUAGUUAAGCUAGGUAGGGUUGGUUGUACAGAUAGUACUUUUAGUUAUAACCACCCAAAUGAUAUCUUAAUUAUUUAUAGAAACUAAAAUGGUUAGGACAUAUAAUUAGAGUUGUUAAGCAAUGACAAUUACAACUUGAUUCUUAUAUUAUUUAUGAUAUAGGUCAAAUAACCAGCAACAUAUGGUAGAACAAAAAGAAGAAAAAUUAAUGAUCGUAUAUAUAGGAGAAAAGAAAUAAAAAUAGUGAUACAAAAAUAUGUUUUUGAUAGAUAUAAUAUUCUUUGUUCUUUUUUUCAUACAAUGAUAUUGAAGGUGGGAGAUUUGGAAUGAUAUUGUAGCGGACGAUUUGGAACAAGCCACACAAUAUGACAUCGUAAUUAAAUAUCGAAUUUGUCAUCAAUAAAAGAAAUACUACUAAAUCCUAAUGCAUAAUUUUUUAUUCCUUUGAAUGGAAUUAUAUGACGACUAUUCUCUACGUCCAAUCAAUAAGAAGAGACCAGAAUGUGUCCAGAUUAAUUAAGCAGAAUCAGUCUCUUUAGUAUAAGAUAUUAUUUAUGCUAAAGAUUACAAUAUUGAACAUGCUUGCAUAUCUCACAAUAUACAAUAAACUUAAAUAAUGCUAUGAUCCUUACAUUUAAACUACCAUAUAUUAUUUUAAUUCAGACAUGUAUUUGUCACCAUCUUGCAUCUUUAAUUGUUUAUAGUGAAGCAUACAUUUGGAGUUUGCACAUAUAGAAAAGUCUUUCUGUUUUUAUCUUUGUCGAGACGGAGAUGGAAUACUCUAAUCAAAGUGAAAACUACUUGUUUUAUAUCGGUGUGUGUAUGCCUAUUAAACGACCACGUCGAAAUCUUAUUAAUAAAUUCUGGCAAGUCUCACGAAAUUGAGAUAAUCCUAACAUAAUAUAUUGGGUUAAUUGUCAAUUUGGUCAUUGAAUUAUCACCUAAGUGAAAAUUAAAUCCAAAACUUUUUUUUUUCCAAAAACACUCAGUCAUUGAAUUAAAAAAAUCUGUUAGUUACAUCCUUAAUCAGUCAUUGAAUUAAAAAAAUCUGUUAGUUACAUCCUUAGUAUUAUAUUCGAAGCUACUAUAUUCAAUUUUCCAUCAAUUUAAGUCACGUUACAUGCAUGUGAUACAUAUUAGGGGAUAGAUUGAUAUAUUUUCAUAAAGAAAAUAGUGUAUGGAGUUAACUUUGAAGGGUAAAUUAGACAUUAGAUUUGCAACCUAUAUGAAAUGUUAACGGUUAUAGGCAAGAAAAUGACGGUAUUACACCCUAAAGUGUAUAAAGUGACUUAGGUUGACGAAAAAUUGGAUAAAAUAGCUUUGAAUAUAAUAGUAGGGAUGAAAUUAGUAAUUUUUAAUGAUUAGGGACUUAUUUUCACUAAGGUGAUAGUUCAAUGACUAAAUCGGCACUUCACCUUUAUAUAUAUACAUUGAGUUUCAGGUCAUUUAAAUUCACAAUUUAUUUUUGUCACACAUAUCUUUUUUAUAACUUAAUAAUUUUAUAAAAUGAUAAGGGAAUUGGCCUCAUUUGGCAUGCGAGAGCUAGAGAUUAUGUCAAAUUGACUAAGAAAAAUUAUGAAAAUAAAAGGUGGGUCAGAAACUAUGGAUCGAUGCUCAUGUUUUACCAACCACAACCAUGAAUGAAAUAAAGAGUGUUUUUAGACAAAAAAUAAAAUAAAAUAAAAACAAAGAGUGUGUUGCGAAAAAAGUAAGAAAAAGAAAAAAAGAAAUGUAUUUGGUAUGCCGCAACAAAGAGCUCUAAAAAUUAAAAUUCUCCACUUCACAUUAAAGUAGAACAAUAAAACACAUGCAAAUGCAUCAUAUAUAAUUAAGUGCUUCGCAAGUGGAGGUUUGUUAGUGUCCUGAUGAAUCUAUAGCAUUUUUCAUCUAUCCACUACAUCUCAGAUUUACCUCCUGCAGGCUGCAGCUUACAUGCAUGAUGAAAUAGUAGUUGGUUGGCUUGACGUGUAUGACUGAAGAAUAUAUGACUCAACUACCUAGACCACAGGCACCAAUGGGACGGCUGACAAGUUAUUCUGUAGCAGCUAGCUGGUCAUGAAUCAUGACACGAUUCAUCACUACAAUAUAUAUGCAAGGGCAAAGGCGAAUCCUAAGAGCAUUUCCUCUUCAUACCUUGCAUUUUAAUGUUGUAUUAUUGUAAAAGAAUGUCAAUUCAAUCAUAUGCUUCCACGUAUUUACAUUUAUUCUAUAUCACAACGAGAUAAUUCUUCGAUAAUAAAGCUAUGUCGCUACCUUAGUAUUUCACAAGGUAUUAAUACAAAAUUAUUAUACAUCGAACAUAAGACCUAUAUUUAAGUGAAAACAACUUCUUCUAGUUGAAAAUUAUUCAUAAAUUAAAAAUUUUGAAUGCAUCAUUCAAUAUUGAAACAAUACAAACUUAAGCGAGGUCCACUAAAGUCUAUUGGCAUAUUUGGUAUAUGCAAUCAUACUUGGUGAGAAAUGUGUCACAAAUGAUGAGAUAUGAGAUAUCUGCUUUGUGGUCCAAUAUUCUAGUGGAUGUAGUAUUGAGUUUCUACUCAUGCACCAUGAUUUCAAACUCUUCCCUCUCCUUAAUUAUUGUAAUAGUUUUGAACUCUCCCCCUCCCCUUAAAAUAUAAAAAUAAAUAAAUAAAAAUUGGCAUAUGAGAUAUAUGGCGUUUCAGUUGGCAUUAGUGCAUUGGCGUUUCAGUUGACAUUAAUUAGUGCAUUGGAUUUGCACUUGUAUAAGAAGUUACAGUGUUCUUAUAAAUUAUGGCUUAUGAGAUAACUUGAGCAUGAUUGUAACCUUAUGGCCAAUGGAUUUGCACUUGUAUAAAUUUAUAAUGAUGAACUCACAUACUCGCACUUCGAAACACACUCUCGCACGUAAAGUGCAUAUAUGAUGUAUUGUAAAAAACUUAAUAUGUAAGUAAUGUUCAAAACUCUCCAUCAUUCAAAUUAAUGUAAUAGUUUCGAAAUCUUUUUUGUUCUUUUUAAUUGUUAUUGGCAUGUGCGCCAUUUUUUCCUUCACCAGAAUUUUCUACAUUCAAGUAUAAGAAAAAGAAAGUGGAUCACAUUAGAUAAAUAAACCUCGAGUGCAACUAGGACCUAGACAAUCAAACAUGAACACAAGAAGAGUUGUCAAAGGUUGUGACCUGUUCUAGAUAUUGGUGUUUUUAGGCGAGUGUGCUAAACUAGUAAUAACAUCAACUAUAAAGUUUGUCUUCUCUAUGAAUAUGACUCCCUGAAAUAUGUGGACAAAAGAAAAAAAAUGACCUAACGAAUAUCUUCAAUAAUAGCCUUCAAUAAUGCAUCUAUUUUGAAUGGUAUGAACAAGAAGCUUUGAAUCUUCAAUCUAUCGAAAGAGAUUAUAUUGAAUAGAGACUUUAUGUGAGUUAGAAGAGUAUAUGAUAAGAGUGUGGUGACUGGCGUGAAUGUGGACAAAACAAAAAAAAAGGACCUAACGAAUAUCUUCAAUAAUGCAUCUAUUUUGAAUGGUAUGAAUAAGAAGCUUUGAAUCUUCAAUCUCUCGAAAGAGAUUAUAUCGAGUAGAGACUUUAUGUGAGUUUGAAGAGUAUAUAAUAAGAGUGUGGUGAGUGGAAUGAAUGUGGAGAGAAGCCAUCAUUGGAAAUUUGGAACCUUGAAAGGAAGAUAGUGACACUCUGGUAUGAGAAAAAGACAUGCGAAUAAGAUGUUUAAGGCGAUUGGCCACACAGAUGUCCAACACGAGAGAGGCACAGCUGGAGCCUCCAAGGAGGGUAUGUAGGUUUUUCAGUUUUGACCAAAGGUCGAGAAUAGCGUGAGUCGUCAUUUAGUGCUACAGUCCGAGUGGGCCCCACUCCAUAAUUCCUAAUCCUCUAACUUGUCCAUGUCAUGGCUU